rnacentral:lncRNA from 10 species
UCUGGCCAUCUGAAUCUGGCCCUGCAAUUGUCUCUUCACUCAUGAAUACGUGAUUUUACUUGCCAGCAGAAACAGCUGACAGAGGAUAGCCUCUGCCUCCCAUCUGCCUUCCAACCAAGCAACCACUAAUAUAAAACAGAAAAGGUUGUAACUGCUAAGCCAACAAAGAAGAAGAAGGAGAAGAAGGAGGAUGUGGAGGAAGAGGAAGAGGAAAGCGGAGGAGGAAGAAGAAAGUGAGCAUAAAGCCUGGAAAGGAAGAGGUAAAACUUGUCUUUACUUGCAGACAACAUGAUUGUGUAUGGAGAAAAUUCUACCAAAUCUCCAAUAACAACAACAACAAAAACAAAAAC